ACUCAGAACAACAAACAUGGCUUUGCGCUCUGCUGCUUCGCUCUCUCGGUCUUUGGCCUCCACCGCUAGGGUUUCGCUCCACCGCUCCGCCCCAAAUCUCCGCCGCGUCCGGCCCCCCACUCGGCGCUUCUCCUUCACCUCUCCCAGGAACUUUGCGGAACUGGGAUGCGCAGAGUCUCUGCUGCCUAUGCGAGCUGCAACAUGCUUCACAUCUCACAUGACUGUCAAUAUGCGUGCUUAUUGCGAGUUGUCCCACGGUACCUUCUGCCGCACUUGUCAGGAUCGCUAGUAGUCUAUUUGAAGGAAUGGAAAAGAUGGGUGAUGCGCUUGGACUUACAAUCAACCAAAAGGCAGAAGAAUGAUGCAUCUUUGUAGGGACUUGAAAGGCUUUUUGGAUCAACAUAGCAUAGGCAACUAGAUGUUGGGGUGAUCAUAGGGAUCGGAUACUCGCUCUGUUCAGUAGCGAGGGCUCUGUGGAAUUUGAAAGUUUAGGUAGACUCGAUAUUUUAUAAUUAUUCAUAUAAGAAACUUGGAGAUUGAUCCAAUUUCUGUGCCAUGACUUUUGUGUCAUGUUAGUUGUUUCAACAUUCUGUCGUCUACUGUAAACCAAUAUUAGUUUUUCGACCUAGUAAUAGCAUGUGACUUCUGAUA